GUAGGUGGCAAGCGUUGUCCGGAAUUAUUGGGCGUAAAGCGCGCGCAGGCGGUCCUUUAAGUCUGAUGUGAAAGCCCACGGCUCAACCGUGGAGGGUCAUUGGAAACUGGGGGACUUGAGUACAGAAGAGGAAAGCGGAAUUCCAAGUGUAGCGGUGAAAUGCGUAGAGAUUUGGAGGAACACCAGUGGCGAAGGCGGCUUUCUGGUCUGUAACUGACGCUGAGGCGCGAAAGCGUGGGGAGCAAACAGGGAUUAGAUACCCUGGUAGUCCACGCCGUAAACGAUGAGUGCUAAGUGUUAGGGGGUUUCCCGCCCCCUUAGUGCUGCAGCUAACGCAUUAAGCACUCCGCCUGGGGAGUACGGCCGCAAGGCUA
rnacentral:rRNA from 1 species